UACAGAGGUCUCAAGCGUUGUUCGGAAUCACUAGGCGUAAAGGGUGCGUAGGUGGCAAGGUAAGUUUGAUGUGAAAGCUCAGGGCUUAACCCUGAAAUGGCAUUGAAUACUACUGUGCUGGAGGUUUGGAGGGGGGACUGGAAUUCUUGGUGUAGCAGUGAAAUGCGUAGAUAUCAAGAGGAACACCAGUGGCGAAGGCGAGUCCCUGGACAACACCUGACACUGAGGCACGAAAGCUAGGGGAGCAAACAGG
rnacentral:rRNA from 1 species